UGAACAUGUCAUUAAUAAGUAAGACAUACCAUUCAAAGUUUCUUUUACCACGUUUCUUGAAAAACGUGUUCCAAUAUUCAACUUGGCUAAAUUCUUCGUGUGUUUUUGGAAUAUAGGUUGGAUAAAACAGGAAGAAAGGCAAAAAGAAAUGUCUCAUCCAUCCAAGAGUGCUGAAUUAGAACCUGGUUCUGUCAGAGCCAAGACAUGGUAGAGGACACAUCAGUAAAGCUACCUUUUUAAAUACAAUUAAAGUUACUAUCAGCUUAACCCCUUAACCUACGAUUUACAUUCGAGAAUUUUGGGUCGAAAACGUAAACAAGCUCGCGCAGCCUUCGAGCCAUUCGCACGACUUGUGUAGUACGUACUACGGGCUAUGCCCGUAAUAUUUACGUUUGAUCCGAUCAUCUGCUACGGACUAUGCCCGUAAUAUUUACGUUUGGCCCGAUCAUCGUACUACGGGUUAUACCCGUAGUUGUAGGUUAAGAGGUUAAUAAAUGUUUAUUAUGAGAAUUGUAUUUAUUUUAUGAUAAUAAUAAAAAGCGGGCAAAACUUGUAACAUGUCAAUUUAUUACAAACAAAGUCAAUACAUUAUUAUGUACAACUACUCUGACACAUUUAAUAUAUAUGUACAUUAUGUAUAAAUAAUAUGCACACACAUUCAUGACUCACAU
rnacentral:lncRNA from 1 species